AGUAUGAGGAACUAAACCCCUCUUAGUUAGGGGGUGAUUCGAAACUAUGUUCAUACUUGCAAUAUGAUUUGAGUACAUCCAGUUGUGAUUCAUAAGUUGUGAAUUCAAUUUACUUAUCUGUUCAUAUAAAAACUAAUUUGUGUAUGUUGGUUAAGAGUGCACACGCUUAAUUUUCAUGCAUGAAUUUGACGCUAGAAUAU
rnacentral:lncRNA from 1 species